GGUUAGGGUUAGGGUUAGGGUUAGGGUUAGGGUUAGGGUUAGGGUUAGGGUUAGGGUUAGGGUUAGGGUUAGGGUUAGGGUUAGGGUUAGGGUUAGGGUUAGGGUUAGGGUUAGGGUUAGGGUUAGGGUUAGGAUAGAGGGUUUUAGCCAGAAGUGCCAGGGGGUGCACUUGGUUUUUGGCGAAUAGCUUUGUCUGUGGUGGUCGCAGAGUCACGAGACCCACAUGCUCCCCCACUAAUUCUAUGAUGGGCUUUCCAACGGUGCCAGCCCCAUGUCUCUACGAGCUAGCGUCAGCGAGCUACAGUGAUAUGGAGGGGGGGGUGCAGUUGUAUUUGGCCCAAUAACUUUGUCUGUGGUGGUCGCAGAGUCAUGAGACCCACAUGCUCCCCCACUAAUUCCACGAUGGGCUUUCCAACGGCACCAGCCACGAGUCUCUCUGAGCUUGCGUUAGGGUUAUGGUUAGGGUUAGGGUUAGGGUUAGAGAUAGAGGGUGCAGUUGUAUUUGGCCCAAUAACUUUGUCUGUGGUGGUCGCAGAGUCACGAGACCCACAUGCUCCCCCACUAAUUCUAUGAUGGGCUUUCCAACGGUGCCAGCCCCAUGUCUCUACGAGCUAGCGUCAGCGAGCUACAGUGAUAUGGAGGGGGGGUGCAGUUGUAUUUGGCCCAGUAACUUUGUCUGUGGUGGUCGCAGAGUCAUGAGACCCACAUGCUCCCCCACUAAUUCCAUGAUGGGCUUUCCAACGGCACCAGCCACGAGUCUCUCUGAGCUUGCGUUGCUGAGAUAUACUCUGUAUGCUCUCUGGGCCUCAUAUAUGGGUGCGGCCUUAGCGAGAAUUCACUCUGGCUGAGGUUUGUCUAUGAUAGAGGGUUUUAGCCAGAAGUGCCAGGGGGUGCACUUGGUUUUUGGCGAAUAGCUUUGUCUGUGGUGGUCGCAGAGUCACGAGACCCACAUGCUCCCCCACUAAUUCUAUGAUGGGCUUUCCAACGGUGCCAGCCCCAUGUCUCUACGAGCUAGCGUCAGCGAGCUACAGUGAUAUGGAGGGGGGGUGCAGUUGUAUUUGGCCCAAUAACUUUGUCUGUGGUGGUCGCAGAGUCAUGAGACCCACAUGCUCCCCCACUAAUUCCACGAUGGGCUUUCCAACGGCACCAGCCACGAGUCUCUCUGAGCUUGCGUUAGGGUUAUGGUUAGGGUUAGGGUUAGGGUUAGAGAUAGAGGGUGCAGUUGUAUUUGGCCCAAUAACUUUGUCUGUGGUGGUCGCAGAGUCACGAGACCCACAUGCUCCCCCACUAAUUCUAUGAUGGGCUUUCCAACGGUGCCAGCCCCAUGUCUCUACGAGCUAGCGUCAGCGAGCUACAGUGAUAUGGAGGGGGGGUGCAGUUGUAUUUGGCCCAAUAACUUUGUCUGUGGUGGUCGCAGAGUCAUGAGACCCACAUGCCCCCCCACUAAUUCCAUGAUGGGCUUUCCAACGCCGCCAGCCGCACCUCUCUAUGAGCUUGCAUUGCUGAGAUACGCUCUCUGGGCCUCAUAUAUGGGUGCGGCCUUAGCGAAAAUUCACUCUGACUGAGGAUGAUGAUGAUGAUGAUGACUAAUUCUACGAUGGGCUUUCCAACUUGCGUUGCUUAGAUACACUGUGU